GAUGAACGCUGGCGGCGUGCCUAAUACAUGCAAGUCGAGCGAACGGACGAGAAGCUUGCUUCUCUGAUGUUAGCGGCGGACGGGUGAGUAACACGUGGAUAACCUACCUAUAAGACUGGGAUAACUUCGGGACACCGGAGCUAAUCCCGGAUAAUAUUUUGAACCGCAUGGUUCAAAAGUGAAAGACGGUCUUGCUGUCACUUAUAGAUGGAUCCGCGCUGCAUUAGCUAGUUGGUAAGGUAACGGCUUACCAAGGCAACGAUGCAUAGCCGACCUGAGAGGGUGAUCGGCCACACUGGAACUGAGACACGGUCCAGACUCCUACGGGAGGCAGCAGUAUGGAAUCUUCCGCAAUGGGCGAAAGCCUGACGGAGCAACGCCGCGUGAGUGAUGAAGGUCUUCGGAUCGUAAAACUCUGUUAUUAGGGAAGAACAUAUGUGUAAGUAACUGUGCACAUCGUGACGGUACCUAAUCAGAAAGCCACGGCUAACUACGUG
rnacentral:rRNA from 1 species